CCUACGGGGGGCUGCAGUGGGGAAUAUUGCACAAUGGGCGCGAGCCUGAUGCAGCCAUGCCGCGUGUGUGAAGAAGGCCUUCGGGUUGUAAAGCACUUUCAGCGGGGAGGAAGGCGGUGAGGUUAAUAACCUCAUCGAUUGACGUUACCCGCAGAAGAAGCACCGGCUAACUCCGUGCCAGCAGCCGCGGUAAUACGGAGGGUGCAAGCGCUAAUCGGAAUUACUGGGCGUAAAGCGCACGCAGGCGGUCUGUCAAGUCGGAUGUGAAAUCCCCGGGCUCAACCUGGGAACUGCAUUCGAAACUGGCAGGCUAGAGUCUUGUAGAGGGGGGUAGAAUUCCAGGUGUAGCGGUGAAAUGCGUAGAGAUCUGGAGGAAUACCGGUGGCGAAGGCGGCCCCCUGGACAAAGACUGACGCUCAGGUGCGAAAGCGUGGGGAGCAAACAGGAUUAGAUACCCCUGUAGUC
rnacentral:rRNA from 1 species